rnacentral:rRNA from 1 species
UGUAGAUGAGUGUUGAUCCUGGCUGGACACCUCCUUAAGCUUGGAUUCCCGGGUCCCCGGAAAAAGAGGAGUGGCGAACGGGUGAGUAACACGUGGGUAACCUGCCCAUCAGAAGGGGAUAACACUUGGAAACAGGUGCUAAUACCGUAUAACAAUCAAAACCGCAUGGUUUUGAUUUGAAAGGCGCUUUCGGGUGUCGCUGAUGGAUGGACCCGCGGUGCAUUAGCUAGUUGGUGAGGUAACGGCUCACCAAGGCCACGAUGCAUAGCCGACCUGAGAGGGUGAUCGGCCACAUUGGGACUGAGACACGGCCCAAACUCCUACGGGAGGCAGCAGUAGGGAAUCUUCGGCAAUGGACGAAAGUCUGACCGAGCAACGCCGCGUGAGUGAAGAAGGUUUUCGGAUCGUAAAACUCUGUUGUUAGAGAAGAACAAGGAUGAGAGUAACUGUUCAUCCCUUGACGGUAUCUAACCAGAAAGCCACGGCUAACUACGUGCCAGCAGCCGCGGUAAUACGUAGGUGGCAAGCGUUGUCCGGAUUUAUUGGGCGUAAAGCGAGCGCAGGCGGUUUCUUAAGUCUGAUGUGAAAGCCCCCGGCUCAACCGGGGAGGGUCAUUGGAAACUGGGAGACUUGAGUGCAGAAGAGGAGAGUGGAAUUCCAUGUGUAGCGGUGAAAUGCGUAGAUAUAUGGAGGAACACCAGUGGCGAAAGCGGCUCUCUGGUCUGUAACUGACGCUGAGGCUCGAAAGCGUGGGGAGCAAACAGGAUUAGAUACCCUGGUAGUCCACGCCGUAAACGAUGAGUGCUAAGUGUUGGAGGGUUUCCGCCCUUUCAGUGCUGCAGCUAACGCAUUAAGCACUCCCGCCUGGGGAGUACGACCGCAAGGUUGAACUCAAGGAAUUGGACGGGGGCCCCGCACAGCGUGAAGCAUGGUGGAUUAAUUCGAGGCAUCGGUAGAUCUUACUAGGUCUUUGAACAUUCCUUUGGAACACCACCUCCUA